rnacentral:rRNA from 1 species
CAGCAGCCGCGGUAAUACGGAGGGUGCAAGCGUUAAUCGGAAUUACUGGGCGUAAAGCGUGCGUAGGCGGUUCGUUAAGUCUGUUGUGAAAGCCCCGGGCUCAACCUGGGAAUGGCAAUGGAUACUGGCGAGCUAGAGUGUGUCAGAGGAUGGUGGAAUUCCCGGUGUAGCGGUGAAAUGCGUAGAGAUUGGGAAGAACACCGGUGGCGAAGGCGGCGACCUGGUCCUUGACUGACGCUGAGGCGCGAAAGCGUGGGGAGCAAACAGGAUUAGAUACCCCCGUAGUCCCUGUCUCUUAUAC